UACGGAGGGGGCUAGCGUUAUUCGGAAUUAUUGGGCGUAAAGGGCGCGUAGGCGGCCCGGUAAGUCAAAGGUGAAAUCCCUCGGCUCAACUGAGGAACUGCCUUUGAAACUGUCGGGCUUGAGGCCGGGAGGGGGUAGCGGAAUUCCCAGUGUAGCGGUGAAAGUGCGUAGAUAUUGGGAGGAACACCGGUGGCGAAGGCGGAUCUCUGGGCCUUACCUGACGCUCAGGCGCGAAAGCCUAGGGGAGCGAACAGG
rnacentral:rRNA from 1 species